rnacentral:tRNA from 1 species
GGCUUGAUAGCUUAGUUGGUAGAGCAUUGGACCAGGAAUCCAGAGGUUCCGGGUUCAAAUCCCGGAAGAUUCA